AGAACGAACGCUGGCGGCAUGCCUAAUACAUGCAAGUCGAACGAACACUUCGGUGUUAGUGGCGCACGGGUGCGUAACGCGUGGGAAUCUGCCCUUGGGUUCGGAAUAACAGUUGGAAACGACUGCUAAUACCGGAUGAUAUCGAAAGAUCAAAGAUUUAUCGCCCAGGGAUGAGCCCGCGUAGGAUUAGCUAGUUGGUGAGGUAAAGGCUCACCAAGGCGACGAUCCUUAGCUGGUCUGAGAGGAUGAUCAGCCACACUGGGACUGAGACACGGCCCAGACUCCUACGGGAGGCAGCAGUAGGGAAUAUGGACAAUGGGCGCAAGCCUGAUCCAGCAAUGCCGCGUGAGUGAUGAAGGCCGUUAGGGUUAGUAAAGGUCUUACUUUUACCCGAGUAUGAUAAUGACAAGUAGUCGGGAAGAAGUAACGCCCCCGG
rnacentral:rRNA from 1 species